AAGUCGUAACAAGGUUUCCGUAGGUGAACCUGCGGAAGGAUCAUUAACACGUAUCCAACGUUAAAACAACCCUGUGAACCUUCAAUCUUGCUCGCGUGGCUACUCGACCAGAUUUUGAGUCAGGGACCUCUGCCGAUGAGAGUUACGCUCGUAGCGAUGCAAGCGACCUGGCACCCCCAAGCAAUCAGAGUUCUGAAAGCGUCUUUGAUUGUGUAAGGGUGGCGCAAACACGAUCGUUGGAGGCCGACACGGCCGACGACCGGGUCCCUGGGUCACCAUGCCCCUUAAAUCACCACACUGUAACGCCGACAGGUCGCGAUAAUUCCGCUGACCACAAAAAACCGAACAACUGUUAACAAUGGAUAUCUUGGUUCUC
rnacentral:misc_RNA from 1 species